UACGCUGGCGGCAGGCCUACACCUGGCAAGUCGAGCGGGAUGAGCAAGAGCUUGGCUCUUCGAUUCAGCAGGCGGACGGGUGAGUAAUGGCCUAGGAAUCUGCCUGAUAGUGGGGGACAACGUUUCGAAAGGAACGCUAAUACCGCAUACAGUCCUACGGGAGAAAGCAGGGAGACCUUCGGGCCUUGCGCUAUCAGAUGAGCCUAGGUCGGAUUAGCUAGUUGGUGGGGUAAUGGCUCACCAAGGCGACGAUCCGUAACUGGUCUGAGAGGAUGAUCAGUCACACUGGAACUGAGACACGGUCCAGACUCCUACGGGAGGCAGCAGUGGGGAAUAUUGGACAAUGGGCGAAAGCCUGAUCCAGCCAUGCCGCGUGUGUGAAGAAGGUCUUCGGAUUGUAAAGCACUUUAAGUUGGGAGGAAGGGCAGUAAGCGAAUACCUUGCUGUUUUGACGUUACCGACAGAAUAAGCACCGGCUAACUCUGUGCCAGCAGCCGCGGUAAUACAGAGGGUGCAAGCGUUUAUCGGAAUUACUGGGCGUAAAGC
rnacentral:rRNA from 1 species